CUUGAGGGGGGUGGUCCCUCAGCCAGAUUGUGAGAGGGUGCAGGUCAGGCCGAGGGACCCCAGUGGUACACG
rnacentral:pre_miRNA from 1 species